GCCCCGGUAGCUCAGUUGGAUAGAGCGAGAGCCUUCUAAGCUCUAGGUCACAGGUUCGAUUCCUGUCCGGGGUACCA
rnacentral:tRNA from 1 species